UACAGGGGGGGCAAGCGUUGUUCGGAAUUACUGGGCGUAAAGGGCUCGUAGGUGGCCAACUAAGUCAGACGUGAAAUCCCUCAGCUUAACUGGGGAACUGCGUCUGAUACUGGUUGGCUUGAGUGCAGGAGAGGAACGCGGAAUUCCAGGUGUAGCGGUGAAAUGCGUAGAUAUCUGGAGGAACACCGGUGGCGAAGGCGAGUCCCUGGUCCGCUUCUGACGCUGAGGCGCGAAAGCGUGGGUAGCAAACAGG
rnacentral:rRNA from 1 species